rnacentral:rRNA from 1 species
GACGAACGCUGGCGGCGUGCCUAAUACAUGCAAGUCGAGCGAAGUCUUUCUGGUUCUUGCCCUAGAACGACUUAGCGGCGAGCGGGUGAGAAACACGUAAAGAACCUGCCUCAUAGACUGGGACAACUAUAGGAAACGUAAUCUCAUACAGGAUAACAGCAUUAAAUGCAUGGAUGAUGUUUACUAGUUGGUUUGGCUAACACUAUGAGUUGUCUUGGCGGUGCAUUGGGUAGUUGGUGGGGUAAAGGCCUACCAAGGCGACGAUGGAUAGCCGACCUGAGAGGGUGACCGGCCACACUGGGACUGAGACACGGCCCAGACUCCUACGGGAGGCAGCAGUGGGGAAUCUUGCGCAAUGGGCGAAAGCCUGACGGAGCAACGCCGCGUGAGUGAAGAAGGAUUUCGGUUCGUAAAGCACUGUUGUUAGGGAAGAAAGAUUGUGUAGUAACAAGGCACGGUAGAGACGGUACCGGAACAGAAAGCCACGGCUAACUACGUG